rnacentral:lncRNA from 1 species
AUUAUUAAAUCUUAACAAAGAUGACGUAUUGCAAAAAAAGAAAAAGAAAACAUAUUGUAGUUUGCAAGUAUGAGUGCUUCUAGAUUAUUUGAUUUCGAGGAUUUGAGGAUUUGCUACGAGCUUCGGCGGAGGUUUUGGGAAAAGGGACGUUCGGGACUGCGUACAAGGCAGUGUUGGAGGGCGGGAUGAUGGUGGCGGUGAAGAGAUUGAAGGAUGUUACAGUGUCGGAGCCUGAGUUUAGGGAGAACAUUGAAUUUGUCUACGAUUAUAUGCCAAUGGGAAGUCUUUCUGCACUUCUUCAUGUAUCAGUCAGAUGAGGCGUGCAUGCGUACGGUGCAGUGUGGUGCUGCUGAUGAGGCGUGCGUGCGGUGUAGUCGCUGCUGCUGUGUGCGGCUUUUCUGCUGUGGUGUGCGUAGAAUACAGUGCUGCUGCUGAGGCGUUCGUGUGGUGCAGUCGCGACUGUUGCGUGUGGCGCUGCUGCUGCGACUGUUUGAUGAGCUUGAUUAACCGUUGGCAUUAACUUUUUAUCUUUCCUCUUAAUAAAUCAAUAAUCAUAGGGAGCUUGCAAAAGAUUUUGUGGUGGCUGGUACUACAUCAGAGUCUCUGAGUCUCUGUAUGGUGCCUGUGAGUCGAUGUUCAAGCCAGACAUGGUACAAGGUGGAUAAAGAUGCUAUGCUAGAUACGAUGUCACAAAUUGAAGCUACGUUAACAAGUAUAAUUUGAAGAUAGGCUACAAACACUUGGUUUUGAAUGUUUAUCGUAU